rnacentral:sRNA from 1 species
AUGUAGCACGCGUCCACUCCGAUACCGAGUGCGCCGUCCACACCACCUGACGACUGCUCGCUACGGCUUGUGCC